AUGAGAAAAAACUGUGAUGUCAAUAACCCUCCGGUUCUCUCCUCCAAGAAGGGUCUGAAACGCGGCUCUGGUCCUGAUCUGCUUCGGGACGUGGAGCGUCUGCGUGCGAAGCUGGAGGUGGAGCGCAGCAGGACUCAGCAGGCCCACCGCCGCUUCUCCCUGGAGCUCCAGCGGCAGCGUGAGGAGGCGCGCGAGGAGCGAGAGCGAGCGCUGAGAGAAAUCACCUUCCGGCUGGAGCAGCAGAAAACACUGGAGCUCCUGCGGCAGAGAGACGCUCUGGGACGAGAGCGAGCUGCGGAGGUGCGUCGUCUGCUGCGCUGGCGGAGUCAAUCCACGCUCAGACCAACCAGAGACGUCCAUCGCCAACUGGCGGAUGAGCUGGCUGGAGUCUGCAGAUCCGCAGCUCUCAGACCCAGCUGUAAAGGGAACGGAGCUGCAUAUCGUAGACUGGAGGAGCUGCUGAAAACACUGCUGGAACAGGCGGAUGGACAGCAGGUCGCUUUGCUUCAUCGGCUUCAGCAGGAAGUGGAUCUAGAGAAGAGCUACUUCCUGUGCCAUCUGCUGGAAGCACACAGUCGGCCAGCACUGCAGAGGAAAGAGGAACGCAAAGACAAAGAGUUUGUUGUGGAACAAUCCAGGCGAAGGUCAAAGAGUUGUAUACAGGUGACGGGAGGAGUCAGAGAAGGAAAUCUUGCUUUAUUUCGUUCUAAUUCGCUAUCACAGACAUACAAAAGCGAAUCUCCUCAACCUAUGAAGAAGAAGAAGAAGCAGCAGGAUUCUGAAACUCCAGCAGAAGAAGAGGCGUCUGGAGGAGAUGUGGAGAGCUUACCUGAGCCUGCUUCGUCUGAUGAGGAAUCGCAGAAGUGCUCCACAUCCCCAUGUUCACAGGACAAUAUGGACGAGCAGAACGGCCGGGAUUAUGGCUAUCUGGUGCGGCAGAACUCGGAGCUGCUGCGAGCGCUGGAGGAGAUGGAGAAAUCCUGCGCCGCUCUGAGAGAAGAGAACCGCGUACUGAGAAAGAGCAGUUCUCCAGAGACGGAGGAGAAGGUGAAGAGGCUGAGGAAGAAAAACGCUGAACUCGCCAUCAUCGCCAAACGACUGGAGGACAGAGCGCGGAAACUCCAGGAGGCGAACCUCAAAGUGGCCAGCAGUCCGAUGGCGGUGCGAGCGGGGCAGUGGAGCAGUAUAAGCGGGCGUUUGCUCGUCAGAGAGCCAGAGAUCUGGCACAGCACGCAGACACACUCCUGAGAAAAGAUAAGCAGAUCUCAUCACUGUGCAGACAGCUGGAGACGCACACCGGGCAACACAAGGUAAACACACACUGACUUACAGAAGAAACAACAAACUCUCUACAUUUUAUAUAGCUGAAAAUGUCAGUUUCAUCAAUGCAUCGUGAUUCUUUCUCUGGUG
rnacentral:lncRNA from 1 species